GAUGAACGCUGGCGGCGUGCCUAAUACAUGCAAGUCGAGCGAACAGAUGAGGAGCUUGCUCCUCUGACGUUAGCGGCGGACGGGUGAGUAACACGUGGAUAACCUACCUAUAAGACUGGGAUAACUUCGGGAAACCGGAGCUAAUACCGGAUAAUAUAUUGAACCGCAUGGUUCAAUAGUGAAAGACGGUUUUGCUGUCACUUAUAGAUGGAUCCGCGCCGCAUUAGCUAGUUGGUAAGGUAACGGCUUACCAAGGCAACGAUGCGUAGCCGACCUGAGAGGGUGAUCGGCCACACUGGAACUGAGACACGGUCCAGACUCCUACGGGAGGCAGCAGUAGGGAAUCUUCCGCAAUGGGCGAAAGCCUGACGGAGCAACGCCGCGUGAGUGAUGAAGGUCUUCGGAUCGUAAAACUCUGUUAUUAGGGAAGAACAAAUGUAUAAGUAACUAUGCACGUCUUGACGGUACCUAAUCAGAAAGCCACGGCUAACUACGUG
rnacentral:rRNA from 1 species